AGCGAACGCUGGCGGCGUGCCUAACACAUGCAAGUCGAACGUGAAAGGGAGCAAUCCCAAGUAAAGUGGCGUACGGGUGAGUAACACGUAGGUAAUCUACCCCAGAAUCUGGAAUAACCGGCCGAAAGGCUGGCUAAUACUGGAUAGAGCGACGGAAUCCGUAAUUGGGUUUUUCGGGAAAGGGAGCCUGUAAAAAGGCCUUCGUUCUGGGAUGAGCCUGCGUCCCAUCAGCUAGUUGGUGAGGUAAAAGCUUACCAAGGCAAUGACGGGUAGCUGGUCUGAGAGGACAAUCAGCCACAGUGAACCGAAAACACGGCCCAGACUCCUACGGGGGGCAGCAGGGGGGAUUCUUGCGCAAGGGACGAAAGUCUGACGCAGAAACGCCGCGGGAGUAAAGAGGGCUUUGGGGUUGUAAAGCUCUGUCGAGUGGGACGAAAAGGCUUGGAGUUAACAGCUCCAGGAACGGAGGUAACAAUAAAGGGAAGCCCCGGCAAACCCCGUG
rnacentral:rRNA from 1 species